rnacentral:pre_miRNA from 1 species
AAGUCAUGAAAUCAGGCUGUGUGGGAUCCGGUAACGCCACAGAGUAAGAUAGCAGCGUCAAAGUGACUGUAGGCAUUGGUGGAUAAAGUGAAGCGGUAUUGAUGAGGCCUCACAUUGUCCACCGAUGCCUACAGCCACUUUGACGUUCUCAUCUGAUUUUAUGACGGCCUCACUUCCUCCGCCAAUGCCUGAGGCGGUGUCAUCUGUUUUUGCGGCAUUACCGGAUCCUACAAACCCUGUUUUCAUGGGUU